GGAACUGGCUUAACAUAUUUUUUUCCAAAAAAAAAACUUCUUUGUUAACAGUAAACCCUGGAAAAUCACAAAAAUUCACCAAAAAGGUCGCACAGGUAUACCAAACCUUAAAUCGAAACGAACCAAAAUCGAGAUAUUGAAACAUGUCUGGCGAGUUGAGCAGUUUGUAGAAGAAACGAAAAGGCUCCUUCUGCGUUGAUGCAGGAUUACAGGAAUAGCYUUGAGAGCCGAUGUGCAUGCUACUUCGAUCCCCUCUGCCGUCUCAAAAUGCUUGACUUUCAUCGGCCUUUUCAGGCAAGAAAAUAAAAAUGAAAU